AGAGUUUGAUCCUGGCUCAGGAUGAACGCUGGCGGCGUGCUUAACACAUGCAAGUCGAACGAACCUUCGGGUUAGUGGCGGACGGGUGAGUAACGCGUGAGAAUCUGCCCUCAGGAGGGGGAUAACGAUUGGAAACGAUCGCUAAUACCCCAUAUGCCUACUGGUGAAACGAAUUUCGCCUGAGGAUGAGCUCGCGUCUGAUUAGCUAGUUGGUGAGGUAAUGGCUCACCAAGGCUUCGAUCAGUAGCUGGUCUGAGAGGAUGAUCAGCCACACUGGGACUGAGACACGGCCCAGACUCCUACGGGAGGCAGCAGUGGGGAAUUUUCCGCAAUGGGCGAAAGCCUGACGGAGCAACGCCGCGUGAGGGACGAAGGCCUCUGGGCUGUAAACCUCUUUUCUCAAGGAAGAAGAUAUGACGGUACUUGAGGAAUAAGCCACGGCUAAUUCCGUGCCAGCAGCCGCGGUAAUACGGGAGUGGCAAGCGUUAUCCGGAAUUAUUGGGCGUAAAGCGUCCGCAGGCGGCUUUUCAAGUCUGCUGUUAAAGCGUGGAGCUUAACUCCAUCAUGGCAGUGGAAACUGAAAGGCUUGAGUAUGGUAGGGGCAGAGGGAAUUCCCGGUGUAGCGGUGAAAUGCGUAGAUAUCGGGAAGAACACCAGUGGCGAAGGCGCUCUGCUGGGCCAUUACUGACGCUCAUGGACGAAAGCCAGGGGAGCGAAAGGGAUUAGAUACCCCUGUAGUCCUGGCCGUAAACGAUGAACACUAGGUGUCGGGGGAAUCGACCCCUUCGGUGUCGUAGCUAACGCGUUAAGUGUUCCGCCUGGGGAGUACGCACGCAAGUGUGAAACUCAAAGGAAUUGACGGGGGCCCGCACAAGCGGUGGAGUAUGUGGUUUAAUUCGAUGCAACGCGAAGAACCUUACCAGGGUUUGACAUCCUGCGAACCUCUUAGAAAUUUGAGGGUGCCUUCGGGAAUGCAGUGACAGGUGGUGCAUGGCUGUCGUCAGCUCGUGUCGUGAGAUGUUGGGUUAAGUCCCGCAACGAGCGCAACCCACGUUUUUAGUUGCCAGCAUUUAGUUGGGCACUCUAGAAAGACCGCCGGUGAUAAACCGGAGGAAGGUGUGGAUGACGUCAAGUCAUCAUGCCCCUUACACCCUGGGCUACACACGUACUACAAUGCUACGGACAAAGGGCAGCAAACUCGCGAGAGCUAGCAAAUCCCAUAAACCGUGGCUCAGUUCAGAUCGUAGGCUGCAACUCGCCUACGUGAAGUAGGAAUCGCUAGUAAUCGCAGGUCAGCAUACUGCGGUGAAUACGUUCCCGGGCCUUGUACACACCGCCCGUCACACCAUGGAAGUUGGCCAUGCCCGAAGUCGUUACUCCAACCCUUGUGGAGGAGGACGCCGAAGGUGGGGCUAAUGACUGGGGUGAAGUCGUAACAAGGUAGCCGUACCGGAAGGUGCGGCUG
rnacentral:rRNA from 1 species